UGCAUAUCAAUAAGCGGAGGAAAAGAAACUAACAAGGAUUCCCCUAGUAACGGCGAGUGAAGCGGGAAGAGCUCAAAUUUGAAAUCUUAAAGGGUUUCCCUUUACGAAUUGUAGUUUAAAGAAGUGUUUUCUGUUGAGGUUUUGGUAAAAGUUCUUUGGAAUAGGACAUCAUAGAGGGUGAGAAUCCCGUAUUUGACCUUUACUUUCAACUUUGUGAUACACUUUCAAAGAGUCGGAUUGUUUGGGAAUGCAGUCCAAAAUGGGUGGUAAAUUUCAUCUAAAGCUAAAUAUUGGCGAGAGACCGAUAGCGAACAAGUACCGUGAGGGAAAGAUGAAAAGAACUUUGAAAAGAGAGUUAAACAGUACGUGAAAUUGUCAAAAGGGAAGCGUUUGACACCAGUGUUGUUUUUCUGAAAAUCAAUUAAAGAACUGUUUAUGCUAAGUUGUUUAGACUUUAUCAGCUAUCUGUUUAGUUUUGAGCUUUUCUUUAAUGCACUUUUCAGUUAACAAGUCAACAUCAAUUUCUUUUGCUGUAAAAAAGCUUGAGGAAGGUGGCUUGAGAUUCGUCUUAAGUGUUUAUAGCCUCUUGCCUAUGCAGUCGGAGAGAUUGAGGUCUGCAGCGUAGAUCCUUCGGGGCUAAAUGCAUUUGUGCUAAGUUAUAGCAUUUUAUAGACAACUUGUUGACUAUGAUUUGUCUUGUAGCUUACUCGCUCUAGUGUUAUAAUACCUACGCCAGCAUGCGAUACAGCGCCUGGACGGU
rnacentral:rRNA from 1 species